AGCCUUUUGAAUCUGUGCUGAGAUUUCGUCAGGCAUCAACUCAUGAGGGCUGAUGAGACUUCUAAUAUGAGUAAGGUU
rnacentral:pre_miRNA from 1 species